rnacentral:rRNA from 1 species
CCUACGGGGGGCAGCAGUGAGGAAUAUUGGUCAAUGGGCGCUAGCCUGAACCAGCCAAGUAGCGUGAAGGAUGACUGCCCUAUGGUUUGUAAACUUCUUUUAUAUGGGAAUAAAGUGCAGUAUGUGUACUGCUUUGCAUGUACCUUAUGAAUAAGGAUCGGCUAACUCCGUGCCAGCAGCCGCGGUAAUACGGAGGAUCCGAGCGUUAUCCGGAUUUAGUGGGUUUAAAGGGAGCGUAGGUGGGUUGUUAAGUCAGUUGUGAAAGUUUGCGGCUCAACCGUAAAACUGCAGUUGAAACUGGCAGCCUUGAGUACGGUAGAGGUAGGCGGAAUGCGUGGUGUAGCGGUGAAAUGCAUAGAUAUCACGAAGAACUCCGAUUGCGAAGGCAGCCUACUGGACUGUAACUGACGCUGAUGCACGAAAGCGUGGGGAUCAAACAGGAUUAGAUACCCUAGUAGUC